UGGGACUACAGGCGCAUGCCACCACGCCCCGCUAAUUUUUUGUAUUUUUUAGUAGAGAUGGAAUUUCAUCGUGUUAGCCAGGAUGGUCUCCAUCUCCUGACCCCGUGAUCCUCCUGCCUCGGCUUCCCAAAGUGUUGGGAUUACAGACAGGAGCCACCACUCCCAGCCCUUACCUCAAUAUUUUAAAAAAAUAUUUUAAAAUAUUCACCCACAGGAGAAAACAGGUGCACAGUCCAUAUUUGUUUCUCAUUACUGGGGAAUAGAGUUCUCCAAAUUUUUCCAGAUACGGUUUUGUUUCACAUUAGUGGUAUCCUGGUGUCCUGGAAAGAGGCCAGAGCUAGGGCUGUCACAGGAUAUGUACGUGUGGGAUGUGAAUAUGAUGAUUUAUAGAAAGGAAAUGCUGCCAGGGGAACAAUAACAUGUUAGUUCCAAAAUUACCUCUAGUGCCAAAAAUCAGACUUCAUGAAUUUAAGAUAGAUCUAAAAGGUACUGUUUUUAAAAAUUAUCCUCUGUAGUAAUUUGCAUAAAUUUACUAGAUUUGUGUAAGGUUUUUUGUACUUCAGAAAUUGAAGUUAAUCAUCUUUAAAUACGCCAGUGUUCCUUCUUUUACAUGUUUUUACCGUAUUUUCUCUCUCUUUUUUUUUUUUUUUUUUUUUUUUGAGACGGAGUCUCGCUCUGUCACUCAGGCUGGAGUGCAGUGUUGCGAUCUCGGCUCGCUGCAAGCUCUGCCUCCCGGGCUCACGCCAUUCU
rnacentral:lncRNA from 10 species